rnacentral:lncRNA from 1 species
GGGCGCGCCCAAGGUCACACAGCCAGCGGCCCCGGGGAGGCGGGGGCAGGCCGGGCGGGGAGGGCUGCAGCCCUUGUUCGCCCCAGCCUGGCUCUGGAGAAAAGGCAGCGGGCCGAACCGCCUCGCUCCUGGAAGCUCCCCAGACUUCGCUGAACUUGUGUUAUUUUGCUGCCCCUCGGAUUUGCAAGAAAAUAACGCAGGGGCCGCGUCCUUCCUGGGUGCAGGGCUCCCAGCGCCAACCUCUGGAGACCCUGGGCGCCAAGGCGACAGUCUGGAACACUGUACACUGGCCCUCUGUCCGGCCCACAUCAAAGCAGUUGGCCUAGAUGUCCCGCCAGCAGCUGGGGAGGAGGGCUGUAUACCAGGAAACUGACAGCACAGGCACUGAAUCUUCUGCUCUGGAUCUUCCUUCUCUCCGAACCUUCCAAAAGGGCAGGAACCAACACCAUGCCUGGUCCU